rnacentral:rRNA from 1 species
UACAGAGGGUGCAAGCGUUGUUCGGAAUUAUUGGGCGUAAAGCGCGUCUAGGCGGCCGUGCAAGUCGGGUGUGAAAGCCCUCGGCUCAACCGAGGAAGUGCGCCCGAAACUGCAUGGCUUGAGUACCGGAGAGGAUGGCGGAAUUCCCCAAGUAGAGGUGAAAUUCGUAGAUAUGGGGAGGAACACCGGUGGCGAAGGCGGCCAUCUGGACGGAUACUGACGCUGAGACGCGAAAGCGUGGGGAGCAAACAGG